UAGACACCGUUCAAUAAUACCGUUCAACAGGUGGCGCCCUUGCAUUCAAUGCAAGCUCUGUCAUUACACUAUCGUUGUGCAUUACCAUGACAGUACAAGUACAUGUGACACUGACAGUCGACUCAACGUGUUUUUGAAGUGUAAACAAAGAUGGCUACUGUCAAUAUCAAGGUCCUCUCAAGAGAGAAAUACAAGACAAAAUUUGCCUACGCAAUUCAAGUUCUGACCGACCAAAAUGAAAUCAAGGAGUUGUACCUUACAGACAGGCUACUUGAAUAUUUCCAACAAGGUCUGUUCUACCGACUAGUUGCAUGCAAUAGCUUCGUAGUUUCAUCAACAAAUAUGCCAGCUCUCAAAGCAACAGCUAAAACUAGAGUGAUUUGCACAGGACCAUUUCCAACAUCACAAGAAAUAGAAGAAGAGUUCUACCAUGCAAAGACUGUCACUAUUCAAGAAGCAACAACACUGCCAAAACGAAAGAGAGUCAGCGU
rnacentral:lncRNA from 1 species